CGCGUAGGCGGGCUCGCAAGUCCGGGGUGAAAGCCCCCAGCUCAACUGGGGAAGCGCCUUGGAUACUGCGGGCCUGGAGGGAGGUAGGGGCGUGCGGAACUUCCGGUGGAGCGGUGAAAUGCGUAGAUAUCGGAAGGAACACCGGUGGCGAAGGCGGCGCGCUGGACCUCUUCUGACGCUGAGGCGCGAAAGCCAGGGGAGCAAACG
rnacentral:rRNA from 1 species